AUAUAUGGCUGAAUCAGCCAUGAAUGAAGUCUUUUCUUGGUCUUCCUCGACCAUGAGGAUUUGAUGAUACCCUGAGAAUACAUCUAAGAAGUUGUACAACUUAUGUCCGGAUGUGCUAUCCACAAGAUUGUCAAUCCUGGGUAGCGGGUAGCUGUCUUUAGGGCACGCCUAAUUGAGAUCUGUGAAGUUGAUGCAGACCCUCCAUUUACCGCUGGCUUUCUUUACAAGAACAAUAUUAGAGAGCCAAUCGGGGUAUUGGACUUCCCUUAUGAACCCUACUCUCACCAGUUUGCCGACCUCUUCCUGAAUGACCACACGUCUUUUCGGCGCAAAGUGCCUCUUCCUCUACUUAACAGGUUUAGCCCCUGAGCUUAUAUUGAGUCUAUGGACUGCUACUUCAGGGUCUAUCCCUGGCAUAUCCUCAACCUUCCAUGCAAAAAUAUCGAUGUUACGGGACAAGCA
rnacentral:lncRNA from 1 species